rnacentral:rRNA from 1 species
AUUUUCAACGACGGAUGUCUUGGUUCCCAUACCGAU